rnacentral:tRNA from 1 species
CGCGGGGUGGAGCAGCCCGGUAGCUCGUCAGGCUCAUAACCUGAAGGUCGGUGGUUCGAAUCCACCCCCCGCAACCA